rnacentral:rRNA from 1 species
AACAAGGAUUCCCCUAGUAACGGCGAGUGAAGCGGGAAGAGCUCAAAUUUGAAAGCUGUUGCCUUUGGUAACCGCAUUGUAAUCUCGAGAUCUGUUUUCCGCGCUGGACCAUGUACAAGUCCCUUGGAAUAGGGCGUCAUAGAGGGUGAGAAUCCCGUACUUGACAUGGACUCCCAGUGCUUUGUGAUACAGGCUCAACGAGUCGAGUUGUUUGGGAAUGCAGCUCAAAAUGGGUGGUAAAUUCCAUCUAAAGCUAAAUAUUGGGGAGAGACCGAUAGCGAACAAGUACCGUGAGGGAAAGAUGAAAAGCACUUUGGAAAGAGAGUUAAACAGUACGUGAAAUUGUCAAAAGGGAACCGUUUGAAGUUAGUCAUGCUUGCCUGGACUCAGCCUUGCUUUUGCUUGGUGCAUUUCCAGGUACGCAGGUCAGCAUCGGUUUUGACUGCUGGAUAAGGGUGAGAGGAAUGUGGCACCCUCGGGUGUGUUAUAGCCUUUCACUGGAUGCAGCAGUUGGGACCGAGGAACGCAGCGCGCCUUUAUGGCGGACCUUCGGGUACCUUCGCGCUUAGGAUG